UAUGCAAAAUACCCAAAUCCUCAACCCUUCAAGCAAAAAUGGGCUAGUGAGCUGAAAAUUUUUUUUCAAAAGAAGAAAUAAAAAUAAAGAAUACUUGAAUUAGUGUUUGCUAUCUUUAGUCAAUGGGAAAAUGCAAAUUAAAACCUGUUUGAGAUGUUUAUCUCACCCUGGACAGCCUGGCUAGUAUGGCUAUUAUCAAGAAAAGAAAUGACAAAUGCUGGUAUGGAUGUGGGAAAAGAGAAAUUCUUCCUUAUUUACUGCUGCCAGAAAUGUAAAUCAGUAUGUCUGCUACAACAAUCAGUACAGAGGUGCUUCAAAUACUGAAAAUAAAGCUACCAUUUGAGCUAACCAUGCCACAGUAGCCAAUCACACCACUCUUGACUAUAUACACCAGAAGGACUCUACAUCAAUUCACCACAAAGAUACUUCACAUCCAUGUUUAUUGCAACAACCUUUACAAUAGCUACAGGAUGGAAUCAGCCUACAUGAACCUCAAUGGACAAAUGGAUAAAGAAAAUGUGGUCCUUAUACAAAAUGCAGUUUUAUGCAGCCACAAAGGAAAAAUGAAAUCAUGACAUUUAUAGGAAAAUGAAUGUGAUUGGAGAUUAUACUAAGUAAAACAAUACUCACAAAGGUGAAUUCCACAUGUCCUUUCACAUGCAGACCCUAGAUGUGUGUGUGUGUGUGUGUGUGUGUGUGUGUGUGUGUGUGUGUGUGUGUGUGUGUGUGUGUGAUGUGUGUGGUGGUGAGUGUGUGUGUGUGUGUGGUGUAUGUGUGCAGAAGUAGAAAGGGGACUAUAAUAUAGAAGGAAGAAUUGGAAAGAAGCGAGAGGGAGAAAAAAAGAGAGAGAAAUGGAUGCAGCAUGAAAGGAAGAAAGCCACAAGAGAGUGACAGGGAGAAUGGGGGGGGGGAGGGCAGUGUAGGAUUUAGGAGGAAUAAGAACAAUGUGUCACAUCAUGUGUAUGAUUGAUUAUCAGAAUAUUCCUAGUUAAAAAUUAAUAAAACCACUGAUAUGCUUCAUUAUUUAGAAAACACAUUUGCAAAAAUGAAAAAAUAAGUUUUAAGCUUAUAAAGUUUCCAUGUCUUUUUGUCUUUUGUUAAAUCUUUUAGGACCACGAGUAUUAAGUAAGAUAAAGCAUAUGAAGGCUUUGCAUAGCUAAAGCCACAGUUAAAUUUUACACUGCUAUAUGUGUAAUUAUGUUUACUAAACAGAAGAGUCAGUCAGCUCAACCUGCUGCUAUCAUUUUCUCAUUAGAGGUCUCCUGGGACAGCAUGACCUUGUGUUAGUCACUGUUUCUCUCCAGCAUAGCCUCAGACUUGGCUUGAGCCUCAUAGACCAGGGAAAGGGCUUGCACAGCACUGUAUUCCACAGGCUUUGGGUAGGUCAAGCAUUAAGCCAAGUACUGUGUGGACAUUUUGUGUCAUCCCUUGGAAUUUCAUCUGCAAGCUAGGGUGACAUAAAUUGGUCACAAAACAAACUAAUUGCUGUCUCUAAUAUCAGAUACAGAAACACAGGCACAACUUGCAAAACUAGUCUUUAUAAGGCCUUAGCCCAUGACUCCCUUCCAUAUAUUUUUUUUCUGUGUUUCUGCAGAGAAUGGCUGGAGAGAGGCCCUGUGUGGCUUUUUUCUUUUGUUCACAAACCACUUGGCUAAAAUGACCAAUGUAUUUAUCUACAAAACUUUUCACUUUACGGGUCUAGAUUAGAGGGCUUCAGAUAAGAGUUUAUGGAAGGAUCUGAGUGAAUGGAGCCUUCAUGCUCUGAAGGUCAUGGUGGCCACAGGCAGAGAGGCAGAUGUACAGGUAGGUUUUGGUUUAUCCCAAAUGCUAUCAUUUCUCAAUACCUCCCAGUUCUGCUGCCUCCAGCAACUCUAUGUUGACAAGUGGACUCUUGGCUUCCAACCGGGAAAAGCACGAGCCAUCAAGAAAUAACAGGACCCACAGACUAUCCUACCCCUUUCUGUGGUCCUCUCUACUUGCUAGACGGCUUCCAAGAUCUCAGAUAAGAUGUAAAGACUCUGUUCCUUGCUUCUGAUGGUAGUUGGAGGUUUCUCCCAGGGAUUCCAGUUUGCUUGUCAGAUUCUUCUCUCCCAAGCACCUUCCAUAACUGCAAGCUGAAUUCUUGCAGUAAGUUGCUUUCUCCACAGAUAUCAGAGCAGUUUUGUCCUUGUGUCAUGUUUGGUUGCUAUCAGGCAUUAUGCGUAAGCCACAUCAGCUUAAUCUCUCCCAGAAUCACUUGAAGACAAAUAAAUUUGAGGGUUUUUCCCUAUGUUGUUAUCCAAACUUUUUAUUGAAACAUCCAAGUACAGCCUUGAUAUGAAUCUUUGAAAUAAAAUUGAUGUCAGAAGACAUGCUUUUCUUGUCAUUCAAUGCAAUGGCUUUUUUCCCCUGUAGCUUUCAAGAGGCUCAGAGUCAUAUGUGAUCCAAAUUACAGGUGGUGGAGAGUAUGUGGUGUAUGUGGUGGAGUGUGUGUGUGUGUGUGAUGUGUGUGUGUGUGUGUUUGUAAUGUGUGUGGUGGUGAGUGAAUGUGUGUGUGGUGGAGAGUGUGUGUGUGUGUGUGGUGUGUGUGCUGUGUGUUUGUUUGUAAUGUGUGUGGUGUGUGUGUGUGUGUGUGUGUGUGUGAUGUGUGUGGUGGUG
rnacentral:lncRNA from 1 species